CCUACGGGAGGCUGCAGUGAGGAAUAUUGGUCAAUGGACGAGAGUCUGAACCAGCCAAGUAGCGUGAAGGAUGACUGCCCUAUGGGUUGUAAACUUCUUUUAUAAAGGAAUAAAGUCGGGUAUGCAUACCCGUUUGCAUGUACUUUAUGAAUAAGGAUCGGCUAACUCCGUGCCAGCAGCCGCGGUAAUACGGAGGAUCCGAGCGUUAUCCGGAUUUAUUGGGUUUAAAGGGUGCGUAGGCUGUUUUUUAAGUUAGAGGUGAAAGCUCGACGCUCAACGUCGAAAUUGCCUCUGAUACUGAGAGACUAGAGUGUAGUUGCGGAAGGCGGAAUGUGUGGUGUAGCGGUGAAAUGCUUAGAUAUCACACAGAACACCGAUUGCGAAGGCAGCUUUCCAAGCUAUUACUGACGCUGAGGCACGAAAG
rnacentral:rRNA from 1 species